rnacentral:lncRNA from 1 species
ACCAUGAGGAACAGCCCCGGGAGGUUUUGAGUGGAGAGAAGAACGCUGUCAUCUUAUAGAAGCCUACUGGAGUAAGUAAAGUUAGAGAUGGUAGGGCAUCCAGUGAGUGUCCCUCUUCUGUCUGCUGCCAUCCAGCCUUCACUGUAGAGGUGACAUUUGCACACCCUCCCAUGCACACAUCCAUACCUUCCUGCACACACACAAACCUCUUUACAGGAACAAAAGCACACCUCCCUCCCUACACAACCCAUUAUAGGUGUACAAUACACACAAGUCUUUUUACCAAAACACACAGGAUAUGGCCACCCAUUCCUCCUGCACCCAUGCACAUACAUACACACACGUGCAGAGGCAUGCAUGAGAGCACUGAUUACAUGAUUGUUUCAACACAGAAAGCUCCGUGCAUGCAGCCCUCCCUGCCUCGUCCAUUCUAUUCUCCCCUGCAAUGUUCUCCAAUUUCUGGGUUGUACCUGUCUUCCUCUCAUCCACUGUUAAAAAAACAAAAAAA